UACGUAGGGGGCUAGCGUUGUUCGGAAUUACUGGGCGUAAAGGGCGCGUAGGCGGCCUGUUAAGUCGAACGUGAAAUCCCCGGGCUCAACCCGGGAACUGCGUCCGAUACUGGCAGGCUUGAAUCCGGGAGAGGGAUGUGGAAUUCCAGGUGUAGCGGUGAAAUGCGUAGAUAUCUGGAGGAACACCGGUGGCGAAGGCGGCAUCCUGGACCGGUAUUGACGCUGAGGCGCGAAAGCCAGGGGAGCAAACGGG
rnacentral:rRNA from 1 species